rnacentral:rRNA from 1 species
UACGUAGGUGGCAAGCGUUGUCCGGAUUUAUUGGGUUUAAAGGGUGCGUAGGCGGUUCUAUAAGUCAGUGGUGAAAUCCGGCAGCUCAACUGUCGAUGUGCCAUUGAUACUGCAGAACUUGAGUACAGACGAGGUAGGCGGAAUUGACGGUGUAGCGGUGAAAUGCUUAGAUAUCGUCAAGAACACCGAUAGCGAAGGCAGCUUACUAGACUGUAACUGACGCUGAUGCACGAAAGUGUGGGGAUCGAAACAAGGA